rnacentral:rRNA from 1 species
UACCAGCUCUCCGAGUGGUAGGGAUGAUUAUUGGGCUUAAAGCGUCCGUAGCCGGCCUAGCAAGUUUCCUGUUAAAUUCAGCGACCUAAUCGUUGAGCCGCGGGAAAUACUACUAGGCUAGGAGGCGGGAGAAGUCGACGGUACUUCUGGGGUAGGGGUGAAAUCCUAUAAUCCCGGGAGGACCACCAGUGGCGAAGGCUGUCGACUAGAACGCGCUCGACGGUGAGGGACGAAAGCCGGGGGAGCGAACCGGAUUAGAUACCCGGGUAGUCCCAGCUGUAAACGAUGCGGGCUAGGUGUUGGGGCGGCUACGUGCCACUUCAGUGCCGCAGGGAAGCCAUUAAGCCCGCCGCCUGGGGAGUACGGCCGCAAGGCUGAAACUUAAAGGAAUUGGCGGGGAGCACCACAAGGCGUGAAGCUUGCGGUUC